rnacentral:sRNA from 2 species
AUGCACUCCGUACACCCCGGUUCCUCCGCGCUGUCCGCAACCACCUGACGACUGCUCGCUACGUUUUGUUACCC